rnacentral:rRNA from 1 species
GAUGAACGCUGGCGGCGUGCUUAACACAUGCAAGGCGAACGGUGAAGGCGGAGCUUGCUCUGCUGGAUCAGUGGCGAAAGGGUGAGUAACACGUGAGCAAUCUGCCCCUGACUCUGGGAAAAGCGCUGGAAACGGCGUCUAAUACUGGAUACGAGCUGCGAAGGCAUCUUCAGCAGCUGGAAAGAAUUUCGGUCAGGGAUGAGCUCGCGGCCUAUCAGCUUGUUGGUGAGGUACUGGCUCACCAAGGCGUCGACGGGUAGCCGGCCUGAGAGGGUGACCGGCCACACUGGGACUGAGACACGGCCCAGACUCCUACGGGAGGCAGCAGUGGGGAAUAUUGCACAAUGGGCGAAAGCCUGAUGCAGCAACGCCGCGUGAGGGACGACGGCCUUCGGGUUGUAAACCUCUUUUAGCGGGGAAGAAGCGAAAGUGACGGUACCUGCAGAAAAAGCGCCGGCUAACUACGUG